GACGAACGCUGGCGGCGUGCUUAACACAUGCAAGUCGAACGGAAAGGCCCUGCUUUUGUGGGGUGCUCGAGUGGCGAACGGGUGAGUAACACGUGAGUAACCUGCCCUUGACUUUGGGAUAACUUCAGGAAACUGGGGCUAAUACCGGAUAGGAGCUCCUGCUGCAUGGUGGGGGUUAGAAAGUUUCGGCGGUUGGGGAUGGACUCGCGGCUUAUCAGCUUGUUGGUGGGGUAGUGGCUUACCAAGGCUUUGACGGGUAGCCGGCCUGAGAGGGUGACCGGCCACAUUGGGACUGAGGUACGGCCCAGACUCCUACGGGAGGCAGCAGUGGGGAAUAUUGCACAAUGGGCGGAAGCCUGAUGCAGCAACGCCGCGUGCGGGAUGACGGCCUUCGGGUUGUAAACCGCUUUCGCCUGUGACGAGGCGUGAGUGACGGUAAUGGGUAAAGAAGCACCGGCUAACUACGUG
rnacentral:rRNA from 1 species